UUCAUUCGCUACAGAUAUCUUCUUGCUUUGAACUUAGUAGUGUAGGUGAUAAACACGUGUUGUAUGAGUUGCGCAGUCACUCAAGAAUAUUGGAAAAAUCAUCAAUACUGGGGAGAAUUAUUGCCGCUCAGAAAGAAUUAGAAGUCACAUUCUCGAAAUUACUGGAGUCCUGCAUCAAUCGUCCUGAGACAUGCAAUAUCUACAUAGAGAAAUAAGAAAAGGAAAGCUUUUUUCUCUCAUAUUUUGAAUCUUGAGAAUGCGGAAUAAAAAAUCGCCCGAUAAAGAAAUUCAAGUCGAUUUAGAAGAUCUCGAAACACGAUUUACGAAACUGAGAACAGUAGACUUAGAUAAAUCCAAAGUAAUGGAAAAUCAAAACCCUUUGUUAAGACACUGCACAGAGAGAGAGAGAGAGAGAGAGAGAGAUAACAUAGUUGGAUCAUCACGGCAGACGUUCAAGUCGCGGGAGAAUAGGUUAUUCGAGGACAGAGUAAAGCCGUACUGGUGGACACGUGAGAUAGAGGAGCUCCGAAGAAAAUAUAUCAAGCAGAGGCGGAUAUAUACAAGAGCAAGAAGGAGGACAAAAAAUACAAAGGAGGAAGAAAUAGCUGAAAUCAAGGAGAACUUAAAUGUUGCCAAAAGAACGCUUAAAACUGCUAUUAAAAAGUCCAAAGAAGAAAUCGCAGACCGACUAUUUCGCACCGAUUUGACGAAAGAAAUAUUAAGAAAGCACUACGAGGGCGAAGCGGAAACCUGCUUAGAGCAAUGUCCCAUUGAGCGGAGAUCUAUAGCGGAACGGAAUGUGCCGGACCGGCUCGAUCAAUCGUAACCACAGAAAAA